GUGUGUUUGUAAGCACCUGAAUACCACUACACUAGUAUGAAUACACACGUUUUAUCCCACUACAUUUUUUCUUCCCACUACAUGCACCCGUGUAGUGGGAAGUAAAAUCAUUCGGAAACGUUAUUUCUCAUCGUACUUGAUUCAAAAAAUAUAAAAUCGGACUAUGUUUGGGUUUCCGGUGUGUAUGUGAAUUUUUUAACACGCAUCGUGGAGUCCAUAAGAGUACUUUACACACUUUCCUCCAUUGGAUAUAAAUAGCGCAUGCGCAAUCGGAACUUCCUAUUCGAAGAUGGAAAUAAUUGUUUACAAGACUCUCAAAACCAAAAAUUUUGUUUGCAAAUAGUGACUGAUGUGUGCCUUAUGAUGUAGAUCUUGGAUAUUGUGCUUUUCCAGGAAAAAUAUCCAAGCUACAUGAGGUUUCCUGAGAAAAGUGUUAUGAUAAAGUCUAAGAUUAUACAUAUUAAGCACCAGUGUUCAGACAAAGGUUAACUUCCUAGAUAGACGGUUGAGGACCAAUAGUGUCAACGGAAAAAAAUCUACGCCAUGAAUAUUGCUUUAACCAAUACUGGUUUAGAAAUGAAAAUGAAAUUCUGGUACAAUUUUUAUUGAUCGUGUGGUUUCAUGUAUUCUCCCAAAAUGAUGAUAUGAGAGAAUCAAUACACUUUUUACGUGUACAUGUACGUGUAAAUUCAGUAGCAUUGAAAGUUGGGUUACACAAUGUACAUAUUUUGCUGUUUUAAUGUUCCUAAACGAUCAUAUUGCCUUGUUCAUAUUAAUAUUUAGAUGUUUUAGUAAUACUCAAUAAAAAGUCAGAGUCUAAUGUUAUGUCUUAAUUACUUUCAUAAUCAUUGAUAUUCAUUUUUAUUUAAUGUAUCAACAUCUCUACGUCAAAAAAAUACAUGCGCGGAUCCAAAAAAAACUUCAGGGGUGUCGGACGGUUA